AUGGGCGAAGAGGUCAUGCCCCCCCGGGGGGGUGGGGGAGACAGCCAGAGGUGGGGGGAGGGGAGAAGGGACCUCUGUGUCCAGAUCUUGUCUGGUCCAUCCUUGCCCCUCUUCAGCUGGGGGGAGGGGAGAGAGCCCGUGUCCCCAGGGACAGGCACGUUCAUCACAGGGCAUCGGACUUCACACGGCUCCCACUCCCGGCAUCGCCCGCCGGCCGUGCUCAGCAGCCGAGAUGAUUCACCACCACCCCUGUCCCGCCUCCUCACCUCUCUCGCCACGGCUGAGCGGGCACAGCCUCUCCUUCAUGGGAACAGAAGGCAAAGCCGGCUCAAGGGCUUGGGGGCACGAGCUGGCCCUCUUGGAGCCCAGACGGUACCCUCGGUUCUCCUCCACCAGCACAGCUGGCCCCUCUCCUUGACAGCUUUCCCUGGAGGACCCCAGCACAGGCCUGGCCUUGGGGACUCAGCCAUGAUACAUAAUUUCCUCUCGGAGCCUGCCUGUGCAGGAAGUGGGGGUGCAACCAUGAGCCAAAGACAGCUUCCUAAGAGCUUGCCUAUGUGUCUGGGAGCCAGCACCAAGACUGUGGUUCUAGACACACACCAUAUCACAGUCUUGAGAAAUCCAGAUGCCACAGCCGCAUCCACAGCCUUAGGUAAGGCUUCCAGAGGAAGUGAGAGUUUGAGAUCUUGAGGAGGAGUGGAAAGUAACUAAUCAAGGGAGCUGGGGAGACAGACAGGAGGGAAAAUCUCCCCCCAGCAACACAGCAGCCGGCACAACAGGGAAAGGAGGACAACCUGGCGGCUGGAGCGCACCCAGCAGAAGGAGGGUGGUGGAGGAGACAGCUGGAGAGGGCUGGGCCCCAUGGGGCAGGACCUGGUGGGCAUGUUCUGUGUCUUUGUUGGCAUCUCAAUGGCAGUGGGAGGUACGCCACUGCCGGGUGACGAGAUUGCGUUUGUAUUGACCAGUGUGGAGC
rnacentral:lncRNA from 1 species